UGGGGAAUCUUGGACAAUGGGGGCAACCCUGAUCCAGCCAUGCCGCGUGAGUGAUGAAGGCCUUAGGGUCGUAAAGCUCUUUCGCCUGUGAAGAUAAUGACGGUAGCAGGUAAAGAAACCCCGGCUAACUCCGUGCCAGCAGCCGCGGUAAUACGGAGGGGGUUAGCGUUGUUCGGAAUUACUGGGCGUAAAGCGCACGUAGGCGGACCAGAAAGUUGGGGGUGAAAUCCCGGGGGCUCAACCCCGGAACUGCCUCCAAAACUAUUGGUCUAGAGUUCGAGAGAGGUGAGUGGAAUUCCAAGUGUAGAGGUGAAAUUCGUAGAUAUUUGGAGGAACACCAGUGGCGAAGGCGGCUCACUGGCUCGAUACUGACGCUGAGGUGCGAAAGUGUGGGGAGCAAACAGGAUUAGAUACCCUGGUAGUCCACACCGUAAAACGAUGAAUGCCCAGUCGUCGGGUAGCAUGCUAUUCGGUGACACACCUAACGGAUUAAGCAUUCCGGCCUGGGGAGUACGGUCGCAAGAUUAAAA
rnacentral:rRNA from 1 species